AAAAGGUGGCUAAAUGGACCUCAUUAAUUAACCACAUUCAGAACAUACACAGCCACGACAACCCAGCUUUCCCCAAAUUGCCUCCACCCUGUUUGCCGAACAAGAGAUCGUAAAAAGUGGUUUCAGCCAGGCACCAAAGCCCUCUAUAAAGUGGAAAAAAUCCUUACAAACAAGAGGGUCCUGACUGACCUGGAAAAGCUGAGCUCAAAGUACCAGACCUCAACACUGGAAGCCUUCCACAGUGUUAUUUUGCGUUUUACACCAAAAAAAUUGGUUUUCCCUUUUAUUGGGAUGUUGUGCAGACUGUACCUGGCAGCCAUGCAUUUCAAUGAGAAUGCUGCCCGUUCCCAAGAGAAGACAAACUCAGGAAGACUGAGGUACAAACUCAGUUUCCCAAAAGCAAAAAAAGGAGCAGCUACGGUGAAAGCAGUAACAACACAACCAACAUACUGCUAUACCCUCAGCCUGAGGCAUCUCCUCUUUGAAGAGGUAGUUUCUAACCCCCUGCCCUACUUGGAGGAAAGUCAGAAGAUUCCUGUGCCCAGUUCCCUAUCGUCCCAACAAGAACGUCCACCCUUAGAAGACGCUAUUGCGGCCUAUGUAUCUCGCUUUAGAGUGGAGGAGGUUUAAAUCCAUCAUUUUGGCCUUCCACAUCAGGGAACUCCCUGCGUAUGUAUUGGACCACACAAGAGGGGAUGACAACACGUAUCUUCCUGCCAAGAUAUCCCCAGCACCAGCUGACAAAUGACCUGUCGGCCAAGUACCUGCAAUGGCUGUCAAAAAGCAGAGGACAUUGUUGUUUAUGUAUAUAUGGCCAAGGCUGAACUGUAUAUAGUGUGUGAGUUAUGUUUUGUCACGUGUAAAUAGAAUAAAAAAUUAUCAUUA